AAAAAAUUUAGUCAGUAUCAAAAACCAUCAUGACUGAAAGUCUAUCAGCAGCGAUAGCGAUGCAGUGCUCUCAGAAAUUAAACAACACUAAAUUAUUGGCAUGCAUCCGAAUUUCUGAAUUUUAUUUCAUCGGGAACGUUCAAAGCUAAAUGUUUGGUACGCCAAAGAUGUACAGGCUCUUUUAUGAUUUUGAUUAUCUGCAAAAUUAACCACAUCAUCAGCAUCAAGUAAAAUGGAAAUUUUCUCAUCUUGUAAAUCAAUACCACACGCAUAUGAUUCUAAGAACGAAACUAUACCAUUUAUAUAACGAUACAGAUACAUAUAAGAAC
rnacentral:lncRNA from 1 species